AGCAGCCGCGGUAAUUCCAGCUCCAAUAGCGUAUAUUAAAGUUGUUGCAGUUAAAAAGCUCGUAGUUGAAUUUCGGGAUCAGUUGAUCGGUCGUGCCUCGGUACGUACUGGUCAAAUUGAUUCCUACCUUCUGACGAACCACGAUGUCAUUAAUUUGGUGUCGUGGGAAAUCAGGACUGUUACUUUGAAAAAAUUAGAGUGUUUAAAGCAGGCUCGCGCUUGAAUACAUUAGCAUGGAAUAAUGAAAUAGGACGUUUGAUUCUAUUUUGUUGGUUUCUAGGAUCGACGUAAUGAUUAAUAGGGAUAGUUGGGGGCAUUAGUAUUCAAUUGUCAGAGGUGAAAUUCUUGGAUUUAUUGGAGACUAACUACUGCGAAAGCAUUUGCCAAGGAUGUUUUCAUUAAUCAAGAACGAAAGUUAGGGGAUCGAAGACGAUCAGAUACCGUCGUAGUCUUAACCAUAAACUAUGCCGACUAGGGAUCGGAUGAUGUUAAUUUUUUAAUGACUCAUUCGGCGCCUUAC
rnacentral:misc_RNA from 1 species